GGGAACAUCAAAUGGAUGCUUAGCUUUGGGAUUCACAAGGUAUUUUCGAGGUCCGCGAAAGCUCCCAUGGUUCAUCCAUGACCUCCAUUGCCAUCUUUGAUGCAUAUCGUGGACACGGCUAGCGCCAAGUUCCCCAUGACCAAGUCCUAUAUCAGUUGAAUGAACUGAUGCAGAAGAGCUGAAAAUGAAGACAAGAAGAAGAAGGUAGCAAAAAGGCUU
rnacentral:misc_RNA from 1 species